rnacentral:rRNA from 1 species
GACGAACGCUGGCGGCGUGCUUAACACAUGCAAGUCGAACGCUGAAGCUCAGCUUUUGUUGGGUGGAUGAGUGGCGAACGGGUGAGUAACACGUGAGUAACCUGCCUCCUUCUUUGGGAUAACGCCCGGAAACGGGUGCUAAUACUGGAUAUUCACUGUUCUUCGCAUGGGGGUUGGUGGAAAGGGUUUUUCUGGUGGGGGAUGGGCUCGCGGCCUAUCAGCUUGUUGGUGGGGUGAUGGCCUACCAAGGCUUUGACGGGUAGCCGGCCUGAGGGGGUGACCGGUAACAUUGGGACUGAGAUACGGCCCAGACUACUACGGGAGGCAGAAGUGGGGAAUAUGGCACAAUGGGCGCAAGCCUGAUGCAGCGACGCCGCGUGAGGGAUGGAGGCCUUCGGGUUGUGAAACUCUGUAGCUAAUGGUCAAGCCGCAACAAUGGUUGUGGUGAGGGUAGUGGGUAAAGAAGCGCCGGCUAACUACGUG